rnacentral:antisense_RNA from 1 species
CUCUUGGGCGGGUCAUGGUGGGAGCGUGCUUGCACGCGCCGGAUCCUUCUUGCCGGUAACGCUAAUCCUGCCAUGUUCCCGCCGCCUCC